CUUAUCCAACAAGCUGUCACCUUCAGUGUACUAAUCUUAAUGCAACAGCUGUUUUAUUUGCUCUACUGUGUAAUGAAUACCUUUUUUUUUUUUUUUUUCUGUGCUCCCUCUACGGUGUUACGAUGUUAGAAACUGUGAGGAUAGCAGUCUUGCUAUGUACACAAAAGCAUGUGUUAAUUGUUUCUAGGUGUGUUCUCUUAAAAAAAAAAAAAAAAAAAUAGAAUAAGGCUAUGUAAGUGUUUUGUUUCCAUCUGUUAUCUGUCAUUGGUUUUCAUGUUUUGUAUGACCAUGGUGUCUUUUGAUACAGGGAUAUUCCUGCACUGAGCUUUGAGUCUGCUUGUUAUGAGCGGUAAUUGCCUCUACUUUAUUUGGUGUUAUAUAUAUAUAUAUAUAUAUAAUGAUGAUCUUAUAGGACCAAAACAGAAAUAAAACAGCCUAAAUGAGUAGCUAAUGCAGUAUGUAUGCCUUUUCCAUAAAAUGUCUUCCCUACAUACAAAUGCCAAUGUUCAGGCCCCAUAAAGUGUCAACAAUGAACUGAAAUGCGUUCUUUUUAAAGCUAAUUCACCAAACCUAAACUAAGAAUACUUUGGUGUUCAGCAACUUUUAGGCUGGAAUCCAAACUUGAGAUCUGUGCGCCAAAACUUGACACGUACAGAUCGAAAGUUAGAAUUCGGCCCUCACGUGCUAGAUUUAGUUCAAACCAAAGGAGCAGAAGAAGACAACAUUUUGUGUGCUGUUUCACUGACGCUGAUGUUUGUGCUGUUUUUCCCCACAAUGAUGUUUCCUGUGGUGGCUGAGAGCGAGACAAGAGUCCAGCACUUCCUUCUCCAGGCCGGGCUCCCCUUUCAGAGAGACAAGACCUCCACAAGGCCACUUAUCAAGGUCAUUUCUGAUGGCAUGUGUAGAUACUAAAAGCCGUAAAGCUAUAGAAAUAAAUAGUCGCAAACUCGUAUAACUCCCAGCGACUCUAUUUAGUUGUAUAGCUUCCAGUUAAUUUGCCGAUAGUCAGCACCUCUACACUAAUGUUCCCUGGGGAUGCUCCAACUUGUUAUUAGAUACUAGAAGCCAAACAACACUGGGGGUGAUGUAAAAUACAAUAUGGCGAAUUCAUUUUGCUUACUGUUUUCCGGGAAGGCAUUUGUCAUAGACGCUCACCCACACUCGACCAUUAAAAAGUUGUGGUUCCAAAUGUUUCCUCUGUUAAGGAUUUAUCGUUCUAUUCGUCUACACAUGACAGACACUUUUUGGUUAACAAAGUGUCAUUACAAGCUGCACAUGUACCUGAGUGUGUUUUGGUUACGCAUAUGGCUCUAAACUGGUUCCAGAUUGCCACAAGGCGUCAGGUAGCUUGACUUGUAACUGUCAAAGUUGAACCACCAGGCGUCCGGUAGCUUGACUUGUAACUGUCAAAGUUGAACCACCAGGCGUCCGGUAGCUUGACUUGUAACUGUCAAAGUUGAACCACCAGGCGUCAGGUAGCUUGACUUGUAACUGUCAAAGUUGAACCAAGAUACUUGUUCAUUUGUUCUCUAUAUGUUCUAGGUGCCGCCCUUUUAGAGAAGAGUCUCGCAAGGAACCUCCUCUGGACAAAGGGUAAGUCAGAACUUCUCUUCCCUGCCUUGGUUCCUUCAGUCUCCUCUUUCUGCUUUGGUGCCCAUGUAAGACUGGAGACCAGGGAAGAUGUUCAACGAAUGAGCCCCUGUGGAUAUUUCUCAAAUAGAAAAUGUAAUGUUAUGUAACACAUUUGUCUACAUCCUUCACUUUAUUCAAUGUAAUCUUGUACACUACUGUUUCCUUAUGAUAUAACAUCAAUGUGCAUGCUUUGUCCUUAAUUGAGAACAUAACGUGUUCAUUUUUCAUUUGGCGUAUUAAUAUAAUAAACAUAGGCACAGACUAUCUGAAGAUUUUGAGUUUCUUUGGUAACCGUUUACUUGGACGCUGCCAUAGCCUACAUUAAUCGCGUUGCCAUAAUGACAAGAUGUCACAAAAACAAUCAUGACUUAGCCUGUCUGCUUAAUGACAACUGACUUAAAACAAACAUGACUCAACCAUGGUUUGAAUUUAAGGGGUGCUAGAAUAUGAACUUAAACAGUCAGUGAGGACACCCCAAAGAGUUUGUAUAAUUUGAACCCUGAACAGAGUGUUAUUUAGGCAUGCUAACUCCCACGAGUCAACUAGCUUCCAGUACCUACGUAGAUAACAUUGCCUGAACUUUGACAUGUUAUAUCGUCAUGACACCAAAGGGUUCAGGUAAGGUCAAACGAGAUAUGUUGUACAUUCAUUGACUGGUACACUAGUUCACUUUUAGCUGUCAUGUUCUACUUUGAGAACAUUGUGCAGCGAUCAGGAACACCCUGUCAAAGGAAAAGGCUUUCCGAAUGCACAGUCUGUGUAAUCCCCAAUUUGUUAAGCUUUUCUCAAGUCCCUUGCUUUAGUUCUCUUUGCAGAGCUUGGUGGUGACACUCUGUGGGAGGUCAAUGUACCUUUCUUGCUAGCUUUGGCUUUUCUGAUUUUGGUGCAACCUGUAGGUUUUGGUGUUGAUCCCUCACCCCAAGACUGGACCUGGACAAGGGUCUCUGUCCUGUUUAGUUUGGCUGAGCUGGAACAGGGCCUCUUAAAGACUGUAUGUGGCCUUGCACCCACCCUGAUGCAAUUCUGUUUGUAAGGAGCACAAGUCGGCCUAGUGCGUGAGUCUCGAGACCGGCUCAGUUCCGUAACACUGGACACAACUGAAUCUGCUUUCCUCAAGCGAGAAGUGCUCCUGGUCAAGCUGAUGGCCGUAGCCGGCCGACACCGUCCCGUUUUGGUCAGCUCUCGCUGUACUGUGGCCGCCUGCAGAUCCUCCAUCUCAGAUAGUCUGCUUACGAUGGCAACCAAUGAAGGCUCUCGCAUGUGCAGGCUCUGGCGACUUUCCCAAUCGGCCGUGCUAGGCAGACUCCGGGUCAGAUCCAGCACUUUCAGAGAUGCUGGGAGCACCUCCGCAAAUGGUGACUGGGCCUCCGAAGACUCCGAGAAGUGCAAGUCGGAGUCCAGGUCUAAGUCGAAAGGUUCAGGCCUCAACCGGAGCUCUACUUCGGGCGUGACCCACUCGUGGGCCUGGGCGCCCCCUUUCUCUUGGUCGGAUAGAUCGCUGGCGUCAGAGUGGAUGUCUGCCGGUGUGCUGCUACCGUUUUGCUUUGACCCAUCGGUGAUGGUUCCUGACCCAAGCCCUGCUCUGUCAUUCAUUGGGCCCCAACAGUAGAAUGUCUUUACCCUCCUCUCCCCAUUGUACCUUCUCCUGUCCCUCGAAUUGAUAGUGUAAGCCGCCUGGACAGGUGUGAUUUUCAACAGAGACUCACUGGAGCUUGUGUCCCGGCCCUCCCCUUGGUUAUGUUUGGUGAAACUCGGGUGCCGUAGCCUGCUGUUGAGAUGAUGGAUGUUGAUUGUUGGACGUCUGUGGAUCAUCCUGAACUGGGCUCUCUGUGAUUGGCUCUGGCUAAAGAUAAGAGGGAAUAAAAAUAAGUAGUAUGGCGAUCUUAAUAAAUAAUGUCAUAAAACACGUAUUUUAAUUUCAAACUCCAUAAACCUGAAAGGUGUUUUCAUUUACACCUUUGGUAAUACUGACAACCACGUGGUGUUUUUAAAGUAGUUUAUCGAAGCAAAACGGAUACCUAAAAUCUGUCCUAGUGGAUUGACUAUAGCCAAG
ensembl:lncRNA